UGAAUUUAUUUGCAAAUUAUGGUGGAAAAUAAGCAUUUGGUCACCUAUAAACAAUCAAGAUUUCUGGCUCUCUCAGACCUGUAACUUAUUCUUUAAGAGGCUCCACUGUUCUCCACUCAUUACCUGUAUUAAUGGCACCUGUUUGGACUUAUUAUCAGUAUAAAAGACACCUGUCCACAACCUCAAACAGUCACACUCCAAACUCCACUGUGGCCAAGACCAAAGACCUGUCAAAGGACAGUGAUUCCACUUCUAGUUUUUUCUACAAAACUUAAAUUGUCCAAUCAAUCAUGGACAUCAUUGACAUAUAGUAUGUAAAAACAUAUAGUUAGUUUUUAUUUUUGUAUUUACUUCAAAUCACAGACAAAUCCCAAAUAAGGCAACUACAACAACACUUUUUUUUAAACGCAAAAUGUAUAUUAUUUUGUAUAUACACUAAACUAUAAUAUAAUAAUUACACAAAAUUAUCCAAAUACGAUCAUCAGAACAAUUGCAUGAACAGGAGUACAUAAGUCUAAGAAUUUAAAUAAGUGAGUACCUACUGAAACUGCAAAUGAGGACAUUUCAGUGCAAAGACUGUGUGACAAAUCACAAAGUGUUGUGUAAUCUAGUGUCUGUCAUCGGAACAUCUUGUUAGCUAGGUGUUAUCUAGUGUCUGUCAUCUGAACAUCAUGUUAGCUAGGUGUUAUCUAGUGUCUGUCAUCUGAACAUCAUGUUAGCUAGGUGUUAUCUAGUGUCUGUCAUCUGAACAUCAUGUUAGCUAGGUGUUAUCUAGUGUCUGUCAUCUGAACAUCAUGUUAGCUAGGUGUUAUCUAGUGUCUGUCAUCUGAACAUCAUAUUAGCUAGGUGUUAUCUAGUGUCUGUCAUCUGAACAUCAUGUUAGCUAGGUGUUAUCUAGUGUCUGUCAUCUGAACAUCAUGUUAUCUAGUGUCUGUCAUGUGAACAUCAUGUUAUCUAGUGUCUGUCAUCUGAACAUCAUGUUAGCUAGGUGUUAUCUAGUGUCUGUCAUCUGAACAUCAUGUUAGCUAGGUGUUAUCUAGUGUCUGUCAUCUGAACAUCAUGUUAGCUAGUGUCUGUCAUCGGAACAUCAUGUUAGCUAGGUGUUAUCUAGUGUCUGUCAUCUGAACAUCAUGUUAGCUAGGUGUUAUCUAGUGUCUGUCAUCUGAACAUCAUGUUAGCUAGGUGUUAUCUAGUGUCUGUCAUGUGAACAUCAUGUUAGCUAGUGUCUGUCAUCUGAACAUCAUGUUAGCUAGGUGUUAUCUAGUGUCUGUCAUCUGAACAUCAUGUUAGCUAGGUGUUAUCUAGUGUCUGUCAUCUGAACAUCAUGUUAGCUAGGUGUUAUCUAGUGUCUGUCAUCUGAACAUCAUGUUAGCUAGGUGUUAUCUAGUGUCUGUCAUGUGAACAUCAUGUUAGCUAGUGUCUGUCAUCUGAACAUCAUGUUAGCUAGGUGUUAUCUAGUGUCUGUCAUCUGAACAUCAUGUUAGCUAGGUGUUAUCUAGUGUCUGUCAUCUGAACAUCAUGUUAGCUAGGUGUUAUCUAGUGUCUGUCAUCUGAACAUCAUGUUAUCUAGUGUCUGUCAUGUGAACAUCAUGUUAUCUAGUGUCUGUCAUCUGAACAUCAUGUUAGCUAGGUGUUAUCUAGUGUCUGUCAUCUGAACAUCAUGUUAGCUAGGUGUUAUCUAGUGUCUGUCAUCUGAACAUCAUGUUAGCUAGGUGUUAUCUAGUGUCUGUCAUCUGAACAUCAUGUUAUCUAGUGUCUGUCAUCUGAACAUCAUGUUAUCUAGUGUCUGUCAUCUGAACAUCAUGUUAGCUAGGUGUUAUCUAGUGUCUGUCAUGUGAACAUCAUGUUAGCUAGGUGUUAUCUAGUGUCUGUCAUCUGAACAUCAUGUUAGCUAGGUGUUAUCUAGUGUCUGUCAUCUGAACAUCAUAUUAGCUAGGUGUUAUCUAGUGUCUGUCAUCUGAACAUCAUGUUAGCUAGGUGUUAUCUAGUGUCUGUCAUCUGAACAUCAUGUUAUCUAGUGUCUGUCAUCUGAACAUCAUGUUAGCUAGGUGUUAUCUAGUGUCUGUCAUCUGAACAUCAUGUUAGCUAGGUGUUAUCUAGUGUCUGUCAUCUGAACAUCAUGUUAGCUAGGUGUUAUCUAGUGUCUGUCAUCUGAACAUCAUGUUAUCUAGUGUCUGUCAUCUGAACAUCAUGUUAGCUAGGUGUUAUCUAGUGUCUGUCAUCUGAACAUCAUGUUAGCUAGGUGUUAUCUAGUGUCUGUCAUGUGAACAUCAUGUUAUCUAGUGUGUCAUCUGAGCAUCAUAUUAGCUAGGUAGUUUAUUAGGCUACAGAUUAAAUAAAUGAACUUCACUGUCUCGUGAAAGUGCACGGUGAUGAGCUUGAUGCUACUUUCCAAUAAAUAUCGAGGGUCUUAUUCUGGUGACAUGAUGACAUGUUAAAAUAUUCUCGCUCUUAUCCAUAAUAAU